rnacentral:rRNA from 1 species
GUCUACCUACGGGGCGCAGCAGUAGGGAAUCUUCCACAAUGGACGAAAGUCUGAUGGAGCAACGCCGCGUGAGUGAAGAAGGGUUUCGGCUCGUAAAGCUCUGUUGGUAGCGAAGAAAGAUAGAGGUAGUAACUGGCCUUUAUUUGACGGUAAUUACUUAGAAAGUCACGGCUAACUACGUGCCAGCAGCCGCGGUAAUACGUAGGGGGCAAGCGUUGUCCGGAAUUACUGGGGGUAAAGGGAGCGCAGGCGGGAAGCCAAGUCA